rnacentral:lncRNA from 1 species
UUCAGUUAUUAGUUUUACAAGGUGUUACAUUACCCGUCAGCUAUCUACUACAACUGUCUUCCUUUCUCCUAGCUUUGGAUUGGCGACUCAAGGUAAAGAUUCAAAGGUCCUUUUCCUAAACAGUGGUUUUAAUAAAUAAAAAAAAAUUGAUAGUAUUCUAUAGUAAAGGUGUUGUGUUUUUUAUACUGAAGUCAAAUUACUUUCAUCAAAAAUCAAAACAAUUCUACAGACAGUUUGAAAAGAAAUUUGAGGCUCACUCAUGUAAUUUCUCAAGUUUUAAAACAGAAACGAUUUGAAAGCACUUCCCAAAAGUGUGGUUGUUGUGAUGCUACCACGCACUUUUAGGAAACAAUUUUAAGAAGACAAUACCAUAAAUAACAAAACAAGGAAUACAUAAAAGUAUCACUUUUAGUUGGUGUCACAGCAAUUACAAACGGACUCCAUGAAAUGAAGCAUUUACCAU